GUUUGGUUACUCAUCUGGAAAUUUUAAUACUUUCUUCAGGGGCAGGGACUGGCAAUAAAAAAAUAGACCUAUAUAUCAAACCUUUAACUUCCAGCCAUCAUUGUGUGCUAUAAUACAGAUGGAGUGACUAUCAGCAAGCUUUACUGUGUUGGUUUAUUUUCUUUAGCAGAGAAUGUGGAUUUAAAUGGGAUAAAGCAACAAAGUCAACUUAGGGCCGGAGAGCCCAUCGGAACCUUCCAUUUCCUUUGCAAGCAGAGAUAACUGGCUACAGUCCAGCCUCCCCAGGACCUGAUGCCAAAGGAUAACUGCAAGAUCAGAAAGGUAUUGGAGAGCCUCUGCAGUGCAUUCACAGUGCCUCAGAUGGGUAUCAUUCAGCUGUCUUGUCCUGACCAAGGCUGGGAAAAUUUGAAAUGAUGACUUCAACCUACGGGCAAGGAAUCCACGAAGCAGCAUCCAGCAGGGUAUUGAUACAGCCAGACUUGCAGCAAGAUGGAGAAUAAAUUGAUGGUAAGUGGCUUGCAGGAGGCCUGAGCAUAUGAUAAAACACAGUUAAAAGAGUAUAACUCUUUGAUCUAGCUUUUAUAAACUCAGGCAGAGCAUAAGAAUUCCAGACAGAUUAAGAGAAAAAAGCCCUGGGCUGAGAGAGGCAGGAAAUCAGGGAUCACGAGAGAAGCAAAAUUAAUAAGAAGGAUGAAUAGAUGUAUAGACAUAGAUAGAUAGAUAGAUAGAUAGAGAGAGAGAGAGAGAGAGAGAGAGAGAGAUUUAUUACGGGAAUUAGCCCAUGUGAUGAUGAAGGCUGAGAAGUCCCACAACAUGCUAUCUGCAAGCUGGAGAACCAGGGAAGGUAGUGAGGCAAUUCAGUCUGAGUUCUAAGGCCUCACAAUUUGGGGGGCUGCCAGUCUAAUUUCUGGAGUCUGAAGGCCUGAGAACCUUGAGCCCUGGAGGGCAGGAGAAGAGGGAUGCUCUAGCUCUAGAAGAGAGAAAGGGAAUUCACCUUCCCUCAGCCUUUUUGUUCCAUCUGGGCCCUCAACAGAUUGGAUGGUGCCUACCCACACUGGUGAGGGUGAUCUUCUUUACACAGUCCACUGAUUCAAGUGCUGAUCUCUUCCAGAAACACCCGCACAGACACAUCCAGAAAUAAUGUUACCAACUAUCUAGCAUCCAUUAACACAUAAAGUUAACCUUGACUGCAGGAGACUGGGUUACAAUUCUUUCUUUGCCACUAACACUUAAUGGCUGUAAGUAUUACGACACUGGCUCAAAGGGCUAAGUAAAUUUAGUGAGGAUUAGCAGUGAGGAGGAAGGUGGUGCAGGGGAAAGUGGAAAGAGGACAAAUGAGAAAGGCCUAUAAGGAUCCUGGUUAGAGGGAAGGAGUUCCAUUGAGAAAUGAAACCACCAGACAAAUGAAUGUGACAGGUCAAUUUAAACACCAGAAACUGGUGUGUGCCCUAUAAUUUGGGAUGGCAUUAAUGCAUCUGAAGAGACACCUGUUCCCUGGGUGUGGGGAGCACUGGACUCUCAGGGGUACAGUGUAGCCACAC
rnacentral:lncRNA from 1 species